AUUGAACGUUGGCGGCAGGCCUAACACAUGCAAGUCGAGCGGUAGCACAGAGAGCUUGCUCUCGGGUGACGAGCGGCGGACGGGUGAGUAAUGUCUGGGAAACUGCCUGAUGGAGGGGGAUAACUACUGGAAACGGUAGCUAAUACCGCAUAACGUCGCAAGACCAAAGUGGGGGACCUUCGGGCCUCAUGCCAUCAGAUGUGCCCAGAUGGGAUUAGCUAGUAGGUGGGGUAACGGCUCACCUAGGCGACGAUCCCUAGCUGGUCUGAGAGGAUGACCAGCCACACUGGAACUGAGACACGGUCCAGACUCCUACGGGAGGCAGCAGUGGGGAAUAUUGCACAAUGGGCGCAAGCCUGAUGCAGCCAUGCCGCGUGUGUGAAGAAGGCCUUCGGGUUGUAAAGCACUUUCAGCGGGGAGGAAGGCGUUAAGGUUAAUAACCUUGGCGAUUGACGUUACCCGCAGAAGAAGCACCGGCUAACUCCGUGCCAGCAGCCGCGGUAAUACGGAGGGUGCAAGCGUUAAUCGGAAUUACUGGGCGUAAAGCGCACGCAGGCGGUCUGUCAAGUCGGAUGUGAAAUCCCCGGGCUCAACCUGGGAACUGCAUUCGAAACUGGCAGGCUAGAGUCUUGUAGAGGGGGGUAGAAUUCCAGGUGUAGCGGUGAAAUGCGUAGAGAUCUGGAGGAAUACCGGUGGCGAAGGCGGCCCCCUGGACAAAGACUGACGCUCAGGUGCGAAAGCGUGGGGAGCAAACAGGAUUAGAUACCCUGGUAGUCCACGCCGUAAACGAUGUCGAUUUGGAGGUUGUGCCCUUGAGGCGUGGCUUCCGGAGCUAACGCGUUAAAUCGACCGCCUGGGGAGUACGGCCGCAAGGUUAAAACUCAAAUGAAUUGACGGGGGCCCGCACAAGCGGUGGAGCAUGUGGUUUAAUUCGAUGCAACGCGAAGAACCUUACCUGGUCUUGACAUCCACAGAACUUAGCAGAGAUGCUUUGGUGCCUUCGGGAACUGUGAGACAGGUGCUGCAUGGCUGUCGUCAGCUCGUGUUGUGAAAUGUUGGGUUAAGUCCCGCAACGAGCGCAACCCUUAUCCUUUGUUGCCAGCGGUCCGGCCGGGAACUCAAAGGAGACUGCCAGUGAUAAACUGGAGGAAGGUGGGGAUGACGUCAAGUCAUCAUGGCCCUUACGACCAGGGCUACACACGUGCUACAAUGGCAUAUACAAAGAGAAGCGACCUCGCGAGAGCAAGCGGACCUCAUAAAGUAUGUCGUAGUCCGGAUUGGAGUCUGCAACUCGACUCCAUGAAGUCGGAAUCGCUAGUAAUCGUAGAUCAGAAUGCUACGGUGAAUACGUUCCCGGGCCU
rnacentral:rRNA from 1 species